rnacentral:rRNA from 1 species
CCUACGGGUGGCACCAGUAGGGAAUCUUCGGCAAUGGACGAAAGUCUGACCGAGCAACGCCGCGUGAGUGAAGAAGGUUUUCGGAUCGUAAAAUUCUGUUGGUAGAGAAGAACGUUGGUGAGAGUGGAAAGCUCAUCAAGUGACGGUAACUACCCAGAAUGGGACGGCUAACUACGUGCCAGCAGCCGCGGUAAUACGUAGGUCCCGAGCGUUGUCCGGAUUUAUUGGGCGUAAAGCGAGCGCAGGUGGUUUAUUAAGUCUGGUGUAAAAGGCAGUGGCUCAACCAUUGUAUGCAUUGGAAACUGGUAGACUUGAGUGCAGGAGAGGAGAGUGGAAUUCCAUGUGUAGCGGUGAAAUGCGUAGAUAUAUGGGGGAACACCGGUGGCGAAAGCGGCUCUCUGGUCUGUAACUGACGCUGAGGCUCGAAAGCGUGGGGAGCAAACAGGAUUAGAUACCCCGGUAGUC